rnacentral:rRNA from 1 species
UACAGGGGGUGCAAACGUUGCUCGGAAUUAUUGGGCGUAAAGCGCGCGUAGGCGGCUACUUAAGUCGGAUGUGAAAGCCCCUGGCUCAACUGGGGAAGUGCACCCGAAACUGAGUGGCUUGAGUGCGAAAGAGGGUCGCGGAAUUCCCGGUGUAGAGGUGAAAUGCGUAGAUAUCUGGAGGAACACCGGUGGCGAAGGCGGCAUUCUGGACCGAAACUGACGCUGAGGCGCGAAAGCCAGGGGAGCGAACGGG